CCUACGGGAGGCAGCAGUGAGGAAUAUUGGUCAAUGGACGAGAGUCUGAACCAGCCAAGUAGCGUGAAGGAUGACUGCCCUAUGGGUUGUAAACUUCUUUUAUAUGGGAAUAAAAUGUUCCACGUGUGGGAUUUUGUAUGUACCAUAUGAAUAAGGAUCGGCUAACUCCGUGCCAGCAGCCGCGGUAAUACGGAGGAUCCGAGCGUUAUCCGGAUUUAUUGGGUUUAAAGGGAGCGUAGGUGGUUUGAUAAGUCAGUUGUGAAAGUUUGCGGCUCAACCGUAAAAUUGCAGUUGAAACUGGCAGUCUUGAGUACAGUAGAGGUGGGCGGAAUUCGUGGUGUAGCGGUGAAAUGCUUAGAUAUCACGAAGAACUCCGAUUGCGAAGGCAGUUCACUGGACUGCAACUGACACUGAGGCUCGAAAGUGUGGGUAUCAAACAGGAUUAGAUACCCGGGUAGUC
rnacentral:rRNA from 1 species